rnacentral:lncRNA from 10 species
CAAAGCUGAAGCUACUCCAAGAUGGGAAGAACUGCUUCAGUGGGAAGUGAGCUGCCCAUCACCAGAGGCAUUGAAGCAGAGGCAAGAGAUAUUCAUCAAUCCACUGUAAUUUUGGAGCUUACCACUCCACUGAACGUAAUUUAGACAAGGAACCAACUGAACUUUAUAUUGCAAGCGCCAACAAGACAUUCUUGAGACCUUAUUUUACUUGUUCUUUCUGCAGUGUUCAAGGCUACUGGCCACACUAUUCCCUUUUUGAAACUGUAUUUUCUUGAUUUCUAAAAUACCACUCUCUCCCACUUCUACUGGUUUAAAGUUUGAGACUGCUUCUUUGAUAUCUCCCUCAUAGAGUCUUUACUGUCUGGUUAUACUGGCUUGUCUGAGAUUAAUCUUUAGCUCAUUUUUCUUCUACAUGUACAUACUCUCUCUGACUGAUCUUAUUCAUGCAGUUUCAUUUUUACCUGUAUGCAAAUGAUUCCUAACAUGAAUUGUACAGACUUCUUUCUUGAGCUCCAGAUCCACGUAUGGCAGA